UAAUAAGUGUUUUAUGGCACUUUUUAAAUCCAUAUCCACCUUGUGUGCAAUGUCAGUCGAUUUCUUUCUUCAAUGAGAAAGGAUCGACCAAACAUCAACUUAUUCUAUUGAACUCUUUGUCUGAAAACUAUUAUGAAUAAACUAAUUCAAAAUA
rnacentral:misc_RNA from 1 species